rnacentral:tRNA from 1 species
GAUUCCUUAGCUCAGUUGGCUAGAGCAUCUCACUUUUAAUGAGAGGGUCCUGGGUUCGAGCCCCAGAGGAAUCACCA